rnacentral:rRNA from 1 species
UACGUAGGGGGCAAGCGUUGUCCGGAAUCAUUGGGCGUAAAGAGCGUGUAGGCGGCUCGGUAAGUCCGCUCUGAAAGCCCGGGGCUCAACCCCGGGAGGCGGGCGGAUACUGUCGGGCUAGAGUCCGGAAGAGGCGAGUGGAAUUCCUGGUGUAGCGGUGAAAUGCGCAGAUAUCAGGAGGAACACCGGUGGCGAAGGCGGUUCUCUGGGCCUGUUCUGACGCUGAGGAGCGAAAGCGUGGGGAGCGAACAGG